UUUCCGAAACCUCCCAUU
rnacentral:miRNA from 1 species